GUCCCGAGUGGCUGGUAUUCUCAUGGGGGAGACGCUUUCUGCUUCCUUAAAGGAAAUUCUUGAACACUUCCCUACAUCUGUGAAGAGGCAAGCCCGAGUCAAUCCCCUCUGAAUCACCGCAGCAAAUGUUCUCCUGGGAGUUGAAGUGGUCAAGCUAUUGCCAGCCUUUGUCCUCAUCCUCCUGUCUGAAACAAGGGCGGCCCUCCAGCCAGCCAUUGUCUAAAGAGCUUCAUGUAAAGAAACGCCGAAGAAAAGAGAUGAAGUUGGCGAAGGUGACCCAUUUCUUCCCUAGUGGGCCGACCCGGGCUCUGCGUCCUGCAAGAGCUGUUCCCUUUCCGGAACCGCGUUUUCCUGCGGGAAGGAUGUAGGGACCGGGGCACUGUCCUUGGAAUCCGGAGGCCGGCUGCAGGCGGACACCACCACUUACCAGCGGCGUGACUUUACGCAAGUCGCUUUGGCUUUCCUAGCGCCGAUCCCGGAGUGGUUGGCUUGACUUGGUUCCAC
rnacentral:lncRNA from 1 species